rnacentral:rRNA from 1 species
GAUGAACGCUGGCGGCGUGCCUAAUACAUGCAAGUCGAGCGAACGGACGAGAAGCUUGCUUCUCUGAUGUUAGCGGCGGACGGGUGAGUAACACGUGGAUAACCUACCUAUAAGACUGGGAUAACUUCGGGAAACCGGAGCUAAUACCGGAUAAUAUUUUGAACCGCAUGGUUCAAAAGUGAAAGACGGUCUUGCUGUCACUUAUAGAUGGAUCCGCGCUGCAUUAGCUAGUUGGUAAGGUAACGGCUUACCAAGGCAACGAUGCAUAGCCGACCUGAGAGGGUGAUCGGCCACACUGGAACUGAGACACGGUCCAGACUCCUACGGGAGGCAGCAGUAGGGAAUCUUCCGCAAUGGGCGAAAGCCUGACGGAGCAACGCCGCGUGAGUGAUGAAGGUCUUCGGAUCGUAAAACUCUGUUAUUAGGGAAGAACAUAUGUGUAAGUAACUGUGCACAUCUUGACGGUACCUAAUCAGAAAGCCACGGCUAACUACGUGCCAGCAGCCGCGGUAAUACGUAGGUGGCAAGCGUUAUCCGGAAUUAUUGGGCGUAAAGCGCGCGUAGGCGGUUUUUUAAGUCUGAUGUGAAAGCCCACGGCUCAACCGUGGAGGGUCAUUGGAAACUGGAAAACUUGAGUGCAGAAGAGGAAAGUGGAAUUCCGUGUGUAGCGGUGAAAUGCGCAGAGAUAUGGAGGAACACCAGUGGCGAAGGCGACUUUCUGGUCUGUAACUGACGCUGAUGUGCGAAAGCGUGGGGAUCAAACAGGAUUAGAUACCCUGGUAGUCCACGCCGUAAACGAUGAGUGCUAAGUGUUAGGGGGUUUCCGCCCCUUAGUGCUGCAGCUAACGCAUUAAGCACUCCGCCUGGGGAGUACGACCGCAAGGUUGAAACUCAAAGGAAUUGACGGGGACCCGCACAAGCGGUGGAGCAUGUGGUUUAAUUCGAAGCAACGCGAAGAACCUUACCAAAUCUUGACAUCCUUUGACAACUCUAGAGAUAGAGCCUUCCCCUUCGGGGGGCAAAGUGACAGGUGGUGCAUGGUUGUCGUCAGCUCGUGUCGUGAGAUGUUGGGUUAAGUCCCGCAACGAGCGCAACCCUUAAGCUUAGUUGCCAUCAUUAAGUUGGGCACUCUAAGUUGACUGCCGGUGACAAACCGGAGGAAGGUGGGGAUGACGUCAAAUCAUCAUGCCCCUUAUGAUUUGGGCUACACACGUGCUACAAUGGACAAUGCAAAGGGCAGCGAAACCGCGAGGUCAAGCAAAUCCCAUAAAGUUGUUCUCAGUUCGGAUUGUAGUCUGCAACUCGACUACAUGAAGCUGGAAUCGCUAGUAAUCGUAGAUCAGCAUGCUACGGUGAAUACGUUCCCGGGUCU